rnacentral:misc_RNA from 1 species
GUGAAUCAUCGAAUUUUUGAACGCAUAUUGCACUCUCUGGUAUUCCGGAGAGUAUGCCUAUUUGAGGGUCAUUUGAAAUAAUUUAAAUUCCAAAAUUUUUCGGAUUUUAAAUUGGGUGGUCCAUUUUUUUUGGUCGCCUAAAAUCAAAAACAAGUCAAUUUCUUUGGUUUGCUUGUUACUUUAAUUUACUUCUUGA